AUAAACAACAGGAAUUUAUUUUUCACAAUUCUAGAGUGUGGGUGUCCAGGAUCAGGGUGCCAGCAGGGUCAGGUUCUGGUAGCUGCCAGCUUCUGGUUGUCUCUUCAUGUGGUGGAGGGCAGAGAGAGGGAGCAAAUCUCCUGGCUCCUAAAGGGCACUCAUCCCAUUCAUGAGGGCUCCCUUUAUGACCUCAUCCAAUUCCAGUUACCUCCCACAGGCCCCAUCUCCCAAUACCAUCACCUCGGGCAGUAAGGUUUCAACAUGUGAAUGUUGAGGGGACACAGAUGUUCAACCGGUAAAGAAAGGAGCCAGCUCCCUUAACAGCCUUGCCCUCAGCUGUACGAGGAGAUACACAGAGAAACCAAACAUGCAGUUGCCUGCAUGGUCCUUACUGGUGUGUUUCAUGGUGUGUUUCCCCAAGGAUUCAGUUGCCUGGACCCAGAGCAGUGACUGACUCUGCUGAAUUAGAAAAGUGGAAAAACAUCUUUUUCCUGCCCAACAGCACCUUUCACCCUCUUUGCCAGCUUUAAGACUUCAAGACCACCUCCAAAAACUCCUGAAGGUGGUAUACAGAUUCCACUGUGUUUGGAAGAGGCAGGAUGGAGCACUAGAGAUAAAAAGAGAAAGGGAGAGACAGGAGAAAAGGAAGAAUGACCACUAUCCUGCAUAGCUGCCCAGCAUCUGCUAAGAAAAUAAAAAUGGCUAUAUCUGCAGCCAGAGGCUUGUACCAUCAA